CAGCAGCCGCGGUAAUACGGAGGAUCCAAGCGUUAUCCGGAAUCAUUGGGUUUAAAGGGUCCGUAGGCGGUCUUGUAAGUCAGUGGUGAAAGCCCAUCGCUCAACGGUGGAACGGCCAUUGAUACUGCAGGACUUGAAUUAUUGGGAAGUAACUAGAAUAUGUAGUGUAGCGGUGAAAUGCUUAGAGAUUACAUGGAAUACCAAUUGCGAAGGCAGGUUACUACCAAUUGAUUGACGCUGAUGGACGAAAGCGUGGGUAGCGAACAGGAUUAGAUACCCCGGUAGUCUCUGUCUCUUAUAC
rnacentral:rRNA from 1 species